AAAUCAUUUUGGGGAUAAUUUCUGAUUAACCCUUUGUAUCUCUCCUAAGAUUUGUACAAGGACUUCCCUAUUUGUUGCUCAAAUAUUGCUAUGGCCUUCUUGAGUUU